GUGAAUCAUCGAAUUUUUGAACGCAAAUUGUACUUUCCUCGGAGAGUAUGCCUGUUUGAGUGUGAGCCUAUAAAAAAUCGACAUCGAAGCUGUUUCGCGGUGGCGUUCGUCGGAAAUGGGGUCAUCUUAAAUCCUUUUGGUUAUUAAGCGACUUAAAAUUUUAUUUUUGGUUCCAUGAACGUUUCUAAGAUAUAAUUCCUUAAACGUUUAAGGUAUCGAUUUUUAAUAGACGUGACCAUCAU
rnacentral:misc_RNA from 1 species